UACGUAGGUGGCAAGCGUUGUCCGGAUUUACUGGGCGUAAAGAGCGCGCAGGCGGUUGUGCAAGUCGCGUGUGAAAGCCCCCGGCUCAACUGGGGAGGGUCACGCGAUACUGUUCGACUUGAAGGCAGGAGAGGGAAGUGGAAUUCCCGGUGUAGUGGUGAAAUGCGUAGAUAUCAGGAGGAACACCGGUGGCGAAGGCGGCUCUCUGGACCACAACUGACGCUGAGGCGCGAAAGCGUGGGGAGCGAACAGG
rnacentral:rRNA from 1 species